rnacentral:rRNA from 1 species
GGAAUAUUGGUCAAUGGACGCAAGUCUGAACCAGCCAUGCCGCGUGAAGGACGAAGGCCUUCUGGGUUGUAAACUUCUUUUAUUGGGGAAGAAAAUUAUGGUUUCUACUAUAACCGACGGUACCCAAGGAAUCAGCACCGGCUAACUCCGUGCCAGCAGCCGCGGUAAUACGGAGGGUGCAAGCGUUAUCCGGAUUCACUGGGUUUAAAGGGUGUGUAGGCGGGUAUUUAAGUCAGUGGUGAAACCUCCAGGCUCAACCUGGAAACUGCCAUUGAUACUAUUUAUCUUGAAUUCUGUUGAGGUGGGCGGAAUAUAUCAUGUAGCGGUGAAAUGCUUAGAGAUGAUAUAGAACACCGAUAGCGAAGGCAGCUCGCUAAACAGAUAUUGACGCUGAGGCACGAAAGCGUGGGGAUCAAA